rnacentral:rRNA from 1 species
AUGGCCAGGUCUCUUACAAUGAUCACACACAACUUUGUUUCUCCGUUUGUGGUCAAACUUAGUAGUAUUUGCUUGACCACUUCUAAAACUCAUAGAGGAUUGUGUGUGAGUAAGUGCAGCACGAUUAUCACCAUGCAUCUGUGGCAUUGCUUCCUGAUUAGCCAAACGAGUCUCUUCUUCAAGAGUACUGGCAAUAGUUUCAUCCAAGGUAGGCCAGUCAUAUCAUCUGAGAGUGAAGUUCGAACUCAUGAUUCAAACCUUCCAGGAAAACCUGCAACAACAAUGGUUCGGACCAUUCUCUGA